rnacentral:rRNA from 1 species
AUAGCAUAUCAAUAAGCGGAGGAAAAGAAACUAACAAGGAUUCCCCUAGUAACUGCGAGUGAAGCGGGAAAAGCUCAAAUUUAAAAGCUGGCGGUCUUUGGCCCGUCCGCGUUGUAAUCUAGAGAAGCGCUACCCGCGUUGGACCGUGUACAAGUCUCCUGGAAUGGAGCGUCAUAGAGGGUGACAAUCCCGUCUUUGACACGGACUACCAAGGCUUUGUGGUACGCUCUCAAAGAGUCGAGUUGUUUGGGAAUGCAGCUCAAAAUGGGUGGUAAAUUCCAUCUAAAGCUAAAUAUUGGCGAGAGACCGAUAGCGAACAAGUACCGUGAGGGAAAGAUGAAAAGAACUUUGGAAAGAGAGUUAAACAGUACGUGAAAUUGCUGAAAGGGAAACGCUUGAAGUCAGUCGCGUCGUCCGGAGAUCAACCUUGCUUUUGCUGGGCGUACUCUCCGGUUGACGGGCCAGCAUCAGUUUUGGUCACUGGAAAAGGGUAGAGGGAAUGUGGCAUCCUCGGAUGUGUUAUAGCCUUCUAUCGUAUACAGUGGCUGGGACUGAGGAACUCAGCACGCCGCAAGGCCGGGAUUCGUCCACGUUCGUGCUUAGGAUGCUGGCAUAAUGGCUUUAAUCGACCCGUCUUGAAACACGGACCAAGGAGUCUAACAUACCUGCGAGUGUUUGGGUGGAAAACCCGAGCGCGUAAUGAAAGUGAAAGUUGAGAUCCCUGUCGUGGGGAGCAUCGACGCCCGGACCAGACCUUUUGUGACGGAUCUGCGGUAGAGCAUGUAUGUUGGGACCCGAAAGAUGGUGAACUAUGCCUGAAUAGGGUGAAGCCAGAGGAAACUCUGGUGGAGGCUCGUAGCGAUUCUGACGUGCAAAUCGAUCGUCAAAUUUGGGUAUAGGGGCGAAAGACUAAUCGAACCAUCUAGUAGCUGGUUCCUGCCGAGCUUCUUCUUCCGGGUG